GAUUCCUCUUCCUCUGAAGAGAAUGACUUGUAGUGAGACACGUCAUGGUAGUGCAAACAUGUCCUCUAGCUCCAGGAAACUUGGAGGUGACUGUUGAAUGAAGAGGAAAAGUCACAAGGAGCUGGCUACUUCUGUUGAAUCAGCCACUGCCCAGAGCUGCUGGGUGUACAAAUUGUGGAAACCAAGAUGAUACCUCGGUACAGACACACAGGCAGCACUGCCCUCUUUCAUUGUGUCCAUGGUGAUGGUCAUCCCUCCAGACAUACUUCCAGUAGCACUAAGCCUGGGAAAGAAGGCACAGGACAUAAGCCCUGACAUCCAACCAUCAUCUCUCAACAGAAACACACCCUUCCUGUUAGAGAAUCUUUGGAAACAGAUAAAACAGUCAACAGGUUUAAGAUGACAAGGUUGACCUCCAACUUAGUGCCAACAUGACUUGAUGGAGAAGAUGCUUCUACUCAACCCAGUAAACUUAUCUGUUUUUGGUCUUUUGUGUGAGAGAAAAAUAAAUUAUGUUUUU